UAGUUUAGUCGUUCACUAUACGUCCCAAAGGUGUCACGAUAGUCGCGGAUCGCGCGAACAUUUGUAUCACGGGCAUUGCUUGUCUACGUGCGCGUUCGGGAGGCUGAGUGGUUUAUGUGCGGUUCUGUGUGUGCUUACUGCUUUCUAGAGAGCCGUCGUUUCUUUCACGAACGCACUGCUAAUGUAACAAUGCCUUGCUUUUAGUCGCAACCGUGCAAGAAGCGCCAGUCCCUCGGUAACCAGUAGCUGAGAACGCAGCGUCAACGGGUCGAGUCCUCGCUGCCGGCCAGGACUGGGGUCUGCUGGUGUGGACUGCAGGACCAUGCCAUGCUCACAUUGCUGCUCAAUGUGGGGCCCCAGCUGCUUUCCAGGACGGAUCAUCCUCAUUGCGAAGCCAGGUGGCGCCCGUUCCAGAGCCAGUAGCGUCUCCUGCCCAGGCCUUGUGUGUGACCAGCUAGUGUGAGCUACACCUCUGGCAUUUGCUGAGAAGCACUUCUGCCUGCUCCUCCUCUGUCACCAUCACCGGCCCUGGCGUGGAACAUGGGGGCGGUGUUGUCUCCUGCAUGCUGCAGCAGCACCUGGUGGCACCUGGAGAAGGGCAACAUCGUCAUGAUGGCGUUCACACUACCUCCGGGAAUGGCUGCAUUCCUCCACAGUACAGGGUGCAGAUUUCCACGCACUCAGCUCGGAAGUACAUGGUGACCCGAAUCCGGUGUUCUGGAUCAAAGCAUUCAUCCUCUCCAACAACUACCAAGAAUGACAAGUUGCAGCAGAGACGCCUCCACCGCUGCGACUUCUGUGCCUACGAAACCAGAAGAGAGUUUAAUUUGAAAACACACAUCAGGGUCCACACAGGCAAGAAGCCAUUUCAGUGCCCUUCAUGCUUUCUGAGGUUCUCGCAAAAGGGCACUUUCACAAGACAUCAGCGCAUUCAUGCAGGCGAGAAGCCAUUUCAGUGCCCUUUAUGCCCUCUGAGCUUUUCGCAAAAGGGCACUCUCGCAAGACAUCAGCUCACCCACACAGGUGAGCGACCAUACCAGUGCACCAUCUGCUCCAAGUCCUAUGGGAGGGCCGAUUACUUGAAGGUACACAUGAAAGCACAGCACCAUGGCAGCCCCAAGCUGCAAAGCAUCGAAGAUGGCUAGCGGCAAUCUCCUCUUGGAACUCCACCAUGUGAAACAACAUCAAAAGCCUCCAUACCUUGUGGCAUUCGGUGAAAUUCCAGUUAGAAUAUCCCCGUGCCGAACUAUGAACACCAGCCGUGGUGUUGUCUCCGAUGAUGACCUGAUGGAGCUAACAGAAGCUGAACUAUUAGAAGGCUGGAGCGAGCAAAAUGUGAUCAAUGGAUCAAGGCAUCCAUCCUCACCAACUACCGAAGACGAACCGCAGAGACACCUUCACUGCUGCUGUGACUUCACUGCUGUGACUUCUGCUGUGACUUCUGCUAUGCCUUCACUGCUGUGACUUCUGCUACAUUGAAACUAGAAAACUAUUCUGGCUGAAAAUAUAUGUCGGGGUCCAAAAAGGCGUGAAGCCAUUUCAGUGCCCUUCAUUCCCUCAUAGCUUUUCGCAAAAGGGCACUGUUAACACACCUACAUGUUCACGCGGGUGAGCGGCCGUUUCAGUGUCAUUUGUGCCCUCGGAGAUUUUCACAAAGGCUCGGACUGAAUAAUCACUUGUGAAGCCACUCAGGCAAGCAACCAUAUCAGUGCCGCUAGUGCCCUCGAACUUUUGUGAAAAGCAGCAACCUCGAGAGACACUUUUAGACCCGCACAGGCGAGCGACCACACCGCUGCACCAUCUGUUCAAAGCCCUUUGUGAUGGCCAAUCACUUGAGGAAAGAUAUGGAAAUACAGCACGAUGAUGCUGACGAGUAGGCAGCAGCCACGCUGGUGUACUUUUGGGGAUAAAUGUAGUCUGAAUAUGGAAUCUACCUAAAACAUGCACAGUGGGCUGUGUGGUGUUCUUGUAUAUUAGGGAAAGUGCAACUUUUGCUAUAUUGGUAUUUGUUGAACUGCCAAGUAACUUUUGUUUCAGUGUACUCUAGCAAGUUGCAAGGAAAUUUUUGCAGUGACAGUAUGAUUCCUUUGUAAUAUGAAUCGUACUGUGCAAAGUUUCAUAAGAUAUUCAGUGUACAGCAUUUGUCAAAAUAAAUGAACUAAGUGCAA